CUUUUGAGUUAGAGUUAAAGUCAGCUGAUAAUCGUGUCCUCUAGGAGCAGCUACUACAGAAGAAUGUGGAAAUCAACGAUUUACAAGAAAAAGUUUUUCGCGUUGAGCAACAACU